rnacentral:rRNA from 1 species
CCUACGGGUGGCAGCAGUGGGGAAUAUUGCACAAUGGGGGAAACCCUGAUGCAGCGACGCCGCGUGAGUGAAGAAGUAUUUCGGUAUGUAAAGCUCUAUCAGCAGGAACGAGACAAGACGGUACCUGACUAAGAAGCCCCGGCUAACUACGUGCCAGCAGCCGCGGUAAUACGUAGGGGGCAAGCGUUAUCCGGAAUCACUGGGUGUAAAGGGAGCGUAGACGGCUGAGCAAGCCUGAAGUGAAAGGCGGGGGCCCAACCCCCGGACUGCUUUGGGAACUGUACGGCUGGAGUGCAGGAGAGGUAAGCGGAAUUCCUAGUGUAGCGGUGAAAUGCGUAGAUAUUAGGAGGAACACCGGUGGCGAAGGCGGCUUACUGGACCGUAACUGACGUUGAGGCUCGAAAGCGUGGGGAGCGAACAGGAUUAGAUACCCUAGUAGUC